rnacentral:tRNA from 1 species
GCCGUGGCUCAGUGGGAGAGCAUCUGCUUUGCAUGCAUGAGGUCCCAGGAUCAAUCCCUUGCACCUCCA